rnacentral:rRNA from 1 species
AACGAACGCUGGCGGCAUGCCUAACACAUGCAAGUCGAACGAAACCUUCGGGUCUUGUGGCGCACGGGUUCGUAACGCGUGGGAACCUGCCCUUAGGUUCGGCAUAACUCCCCGAAAGGGGUACUAAUACCGGAUAGUGUCUUCGGACCAAAGAUUUAUCGCGUUUGGAUGGGCCCGCGUUGGAUUAGCUUGUUGGUAGGGUAAAAGCCUACCAAGGCGACGAUCCAUAGCUGGUCUGAGAGGAUGAUCAGCCACACUGGGACUGAGACACGGCCCAGACUCCUACGGGAGGCAGCAGUAGGGAAUAUUGGAAAAUGGGCGAAAGCCUGAUCCAGCAAUGCCGCGUGAGUGAUGAAGGCCGUAGGGUUGUAAAGCUCUUUUACCCGGGAUGAUAAUGACAGUACCGGGAGAAUAAGCUCCGGCUAACUCCGUG